UUUCUUCGUUUAUCCUUACAAAUUCUUUCCUUCUGCUUUCUUUGAUAAUUUCUUCUCAAUUUUUGAAUUGGACAUUUAAUUCACUUAUAUUUUGUAUUUUCUUUUUGAGCACUACCUUAAGUACAUUCCACAGAUAUUAUUAUACAGCAUUUUAUCUUUUCUUCGUUUUUAAAAUAUUCAGUAAUUUCGAUUUUGAGGCAGUUAAGAGGAGGAUUUUUUUCAUUGCACGUUUUUUACUAUUUGAAAAUGCUUUACCAUUUCCAAUGGUUCUCACUCCCAGCCCUUUAUCCAACGAUAGGCCGGGUCCCGGUUCUUUGCCUCAGGUGCUCUAAAGAACGAAGAUCCCGACUCCGGGCAGACGCCCCGCGGAGAAGGCGCAGGCCCUCUAGAGACUCGGAAGCAGGGACCUCUCCCCGCCUGCGCCAGAGGAUCUACCUUCGUCCGGGCUUUAGCGGUGACACCCCCUCCCGAAUGCCUCGCUACGAUUGGUCUGUUUUUCGGACCUGGACGGUGGCCAGAGGAGAACAAGAAGCUCGCGUUCAGCAUCAGCGAACGAAGCCAUGCAGUGGGCAACUUCGGAGGCUCAGCUUCGCAUCUGUAAGCAUCAGGCCUCCGGCGGCAUGGCGGCGGCCUCACCAUGUCGCAGUUGCAGGUGGCAACGUAGAGGAACCGGUUGCGGCGUCUCCCGAGCCUGCUGCCGCUGCCUGGAUCCAAAAGCUAAUUCUGGCACUUGAAGAUGAUAUGGGAGCGACUUAUGUCUGCAUUGUGAAAUUGGUGUUCUAA
rnacentral:lncRNA from 1 species